AGAUUGAACGUCUGGCGGCGUGCCUAACACAUGCAAGUCGAGCGGUAACAGGUGUAGCAAUACAUGCUGACGAGCGGCGAACGGGUGAGUAAUGCGUAGGAAUCUACCCACGAGUGGGGGAUAGCCCGGUAGAAAUCCGGAUUAAUACCGCAUAUGCCCUACGGGUAAAGCGGGGGAGUCGUAAGACCUCGCGCUGGUGGAUGAGCCUACGUCCGA
rnacentral:rRNA from 1 species